CAUCACUCAUCCUGCACCGCAUCGUGACAAGGAAAACCGCAGUGAAAUUGCUUUCCCUCUUUACUCAUUUAAAAGCAAAAAGAGUAGCUUUAAAAUCUCUUUAAAAUCUUUUUUUUUUUUUUUCAGUUAACUCAGAGAUAGUAUGGCACGGAGCUAAACGUGCAUCCCCUCUCAUCCACCUCUGGUUCCUAUUCCUGCCCCAUCCUGAGAGCCCCUUCUCUGCCUUGGAGCUGAAUGCCAUAGAAUUUGGAGCACGCACACUCACACAGACAAGGAAAACUGCAAAUAUAGGACUGGUCGUUACUGGGGACGACUGGACCAGAAACAAGCAGCGCAAAACAAACUCAGAUGCUGGGUGCCAUCCGUCGGGGGUGCGAGCGGUGGGGAUUUGCUGCAAGCCAGGGUUUGCUUUCUCCCAGGUGAGAACUCGUGCCUUCCAUUCAGCCAGCAGCUCCCCUUCACAACCAGCAGCCAGACAAGGGUGCUGCAUGGCGGACAGGCCUCAGCCGAUUGGCACAGCCAAAUGCAAAGUGCUAUGGAUCGGAACAGCUCCAGCUCAGUCGCUUCUGUUACCGAGAAUAACAGCAAAGCACAAGACAGACAGAGAUCUCAAGGUACUUUCUUAGUUGAAAUGCACGAUUUUACUUCCCUACAGUUCUCCUUUUGGUUUAUGGGCUUGUGAGUCUGAAUUUGGG
rnacentral:lncRNA from 1 species